rnacentral:misc_RNA from 1 species
AAGUCGUAACAAGGUUUCUGUAGGUAAACCUGCGGAAGGAUCAUUACCUUUCUAGCUAUUUAAUAGCUUGUCUGGGGGCUGCAGUUUCUGUAGUCUCUAACUACAUCUGUGUUUUUUGUGUACUACAUGUUUCCUUGGCGGGCUUGCUUGCCGGUUAGACAAACUAAAACUCUUUGUAAUUGCAAUCAGCGUCUGAACUAUAUAAUAAUUACAA